rnacentral:rRNA from 1 species
GACAGAGGGUGCAAACGUUGUUCGGAAUUACUGGGCGUAAAGCGUGUGUAGGCGGUCACGUAAGUCGGAUGUGAAAGCCCCGGGCUCAACCCGGGAAGUGCACUCGAUACUGCGUGACUUGAGUCUCGGAGAGGUUGGUGGAAUUCUCGGUGUAGAGGUGAAAUUCGUAGAUAUCGAGAGGAACACCGGUGGCGAAGGCGGCUAUCUGGACGAUGACUGACGCUGAGACGCGAAAGCGUGGGGAGCAAACAGG